CUGGCUCAGAUUGAACGCUGGCGGCGUGCCUAACACAUGCAAGUCGAACGCGAAAGGGGCUUCGGCCCCGAGUAAAGUGGCGCACGGGUGAGUAACACGUGGAUAAUCUGCCUUCAAAUUGGGGAUAACGGCUGGAAACGGUCGCUAAUACCGAAUACGCUGACAAUUUACCUUGUCGGGAAAGACGGCCUCUGCAUAUGCUGUUGUUUGAAGAUGAGUCCGCGUCCCAUUAGCUUGUUGGUGGGGUAAUGGCCUACCAAGGCGACGAUGGGUAGCCGGUCUGAGAGGAUGGCCGGCCACACUGGAACUGGACAAAAACGGUCCAGACUCCUACGGGAGGCAGCAGUGGGGAAUAUUGCGCAAUGGGCGAAAGCCUGACGCAGCGACGCCGCGUGAGGGAUGAAGGUUCCCUCGGAUCGUAAACCUCUGUCAGAAGGGAAGAAGUUGCGCUGUGCCAAUCAGCGGUGCAUUGACGGUACCUUCAAAGGAAGCACCGGCCAACUCCGUGCCAGCCGCGGC
rnacentral:rRNA from 1 species